rnacentral:rRNA from 1 species
GUGAAGCCUCACUUUGUAGCAAUACACCUGCCAGUAAGGUGCUGCAUGGCUGUCGUCAGCUCGUGCCGUGAGGUGUUGGGUUAAGUCCCGCAACGAGCGCAACCCCCAUCACUAGUUGCCAUCAGGUAACGCUGGGAACUCUAGUGAAACUGCCGUCGUAAGACGUGAGGAAGGAGGGGAUGAUGUCAAGUCAUCAUGGCCUUUAUGCCCAGGGCUACACACGUGCUACAAUGGGGCGUACAAAGGGCUGCAACAUAGCGAUAUGAAGCUAAUCCCAAAAAACGCCUCUCAGUUCAGAUUGGAGUCUGCAACUCGACUCCAUGAAGCUGGAAUCGCUAGUAAUCGUAUAUCAGCAAUGAUACGGUGAAUACGUUCCCGGACCUUGCACACACCGCCCGUCAAGCCAUGGAAGCCGGGUGUACCUAAAGUCGGUAACCGUAAGGAGCCGCCUAGGGUAAAACUGGUGACUGGGGUGAAGUCGUAACAAGGUAGCCGU